AAAGCCUGAGCAAUCUGAUGAAUCGAAUUUCCAAGAUGAUGAUUGUUACAUUUAUAGUCCGGAUACCACCACCGUUGAUGAUGAUGUUGUUACGGUUCCAACGGAAGCACCAAAGAGAAAGGCCAGCUGCAUGGUGAUUGACUUAGACUCUGAUAUUGAAUACCAGCCUGAGAUAAAGAAGCCAAAGAUCUGUGAAGUCAGUAGUGACG